UCUUCGGAUGUUGUAGCAGGAGCUGUGGUUGUCGUGGGCAGGGGUUCAGUUGUUGUGGGAAGGUCUUCGGAUGUUGUAGCAGGAGCUGUGGUUGUCGUGUGCAGGGGUUCAGUUGUUGUGAGAAGGUCUUCGGAUGUUGUAGCAGGAGCUGUGAUUGUCGUGGGCAGGGGUUCAGUUGUUGUGGGAAGGUCUUCGGAUGUUGUAGCAGGAGCUGUGAUUGUCGUGGGCAGGGGUUCAGUUGUUGUGGGAAGGUUUUCGGAUGUUGUAUCAGGAGCUGUGGUUGUCGUGGACAAGGGUUCAGUUGUUGUGGGAAGGUCUUCGGAUGUUGUAGCAGGAGCUGAGGUUGUUGUGGGCAGGGGUUCAGUUGUUGUGGGAAG